ACCUGUUCCCAUCCCGAACACAGUAGUUAAGCCCUUCAGCGGUGAUGGUACUGCCGCAUCCCGCGGCGGGAGAGUAACUCGCUGCCAAGA
rnacentral:rRNA from 1 species